rnacentral:rRNA from 1 species
UAGUCUGACUCUGUGAAGAGACAUGAGAGGUGUAGCAUAAGUGGGAGGCCGUGCGGUUCGGCCCCGUUUCGGCGGGGUUCGCGCGUCCGUCAGUGAAAUACCACUACUCUCAUCGUUUCUUUACUUACUCGGUGGAGCGGGCUCGGCCGCACCGCUUUUUACGGCGGCGAGCCUCGCCCAGUCCCGGUGCAGUGCCAUUCCUGCUUCUGGACCCCAGCCCGACCGG